UAAGACGAACCGUGCGAACGUUAUUCGGAAUCACUGGGCUUAAAGCGCGUGUAGGCGGGCCGGUGCGUCGGCCGCUGAAAGCCCCCGGCUCAACCGGGGAAGCGGCGCCGAUACGACCGGCCUGGAGGGGGGUAGGGGGACCUGGAACUUCCGGUGGAGCGGUGAAAUGCGUUGAGAUCGGAAGGAACGCCCGUGGCGAAAGCGAGGUCCUGGACCCUUUCUGACGCUGAGACGCGAAAGCCAGGGGAGCGAACGGGAUUAGAUACCCCGGUAGUCCUGGCCGUAAACCAUGGGCACUGGGUAGGGGGCUCGCCGAUGGGCUCCCUGCCGCAGCGAAAGCGUGAAGUGCCCCGCCUGGGGAGUAUGGUCGCAAGGCUG
rnacentral:rRNA from 1 species